CCCGGCCUAUCAGCUUGUUGGUGAGGGCCGGCUCACCAAGGCUACGACGGGUAGCUGGUCUGAGAGGACGAUCAGCCACACUGGGACUGAGACACGGCCCAGACUCCUACGGGAGGCAGCCCCAGGGAAUCUUACUCAAUGGACGAAAGUCUGACGCAGCGAUGCCUCGUGGGGGAUGACGGCCUUCGGGUUGUAAACCCCUUUCAGGAGGGACGAAAUUGACGGUACCUCCUAAAGAAGCCCCGGCCAACUACGUGCCAUGAGCCGCGGUAAUUCGAACGGGGGGAGCGUUGUCCGGAAUUAUUGGGCGUAAAAAGCUCCCAUGCCGCUUGGUAAGUCCGACGUGAAAACGCUCCGUUCAACCUUUGGAUGUCGGUCGAUACUGCCAUGGCUGAAGUCCCGCUGAGGAGACUGGAAUUCCCGGCGUCUGGGCGAAAUGCCCAGAUAUCGUCGAGGAACACCAGUAGCGAAAGCCGUUCUCUGGGCCUGAACUGACCCUGAUGAGUGAAAGCGUGUGUAGCAAAUUGGAUUAUAUACCCUGCUGGUCCACGCCGUAGACGUCUGGUACUAGGUGUGGCGUCUUAUCAACUGAUGCCGCUCUCACGCUAACGCAUUAAGUACCCCGCCUGGGGAGUACGG
rnacentral:rRNA from 1 species